GUUUUUCAUCUCUGUUUCUAAAAAGAAAAAAAAAUAUAUAUAUAUAUAUAUAAAAUCUCAAAUAGCUCCUCGUGGGUUGUAGGUGAGCUUAAAACAAAUUGAAACCAACCGAUUGUCCAAAACUUUUGCAGUAGUUCAGUGCGGUUCCCUUUUAAGUCUUCUUUCUACGUAGCAAAACAUCACUGUGGGAACUUCUCCACUUCCCCAAAAUUCUGAAAACUGGCCAAUUGUCACUAGUUGUAGAGGAUACUACAACCUCUUUGCUGCCGCGUCAGAUCCUGGACCUGAAACCCAUCAACAGAACUGCUCCGUCCUACUAUAGACACGGCAUCGCUCAGAGCAGCGGUCUGUGCCUGGUAACUGUGAUUCCAGGAGCAUUUUACCACAGACAGAAUCAUCUCAGGGUGAGCAUCAGCCGACCUUUUUCCAUGGAUCUUUUCCACCUUCAAUCUUCUCUAACAAAUAUAAAAUUGAGUGUUUCUCUUGGCCAGCGUAGUUCAUCUUUGCGUGUACUUGCAUGUGGCGUGCCACAGGGAUCUAUCCUGGCCCCAGUCCUGUUUUCUUUGUAAAUGCUGCUAAUAGAUGUUAUCUUUAAGAAAAAGAGUGUUUUUUCACCUGUAUGCUGAUGAUUUUCUUUUGCAGCUUAGAUGCAAACAAUCCUUAAGACGAUUAGUCUUGUAUAAAAAACAAGUUACAGAUACGGUUUACACAGAACUAGUCAAGGAUGGGGUCUACUUAUUGAAUGAAUCAGCUUUUUCACUAAACCAGUUGAAUUGAUCCAUUCAUGGACUCAUUUGGAUACAUUAAAAUAUUCAUGGAUAACAUUUUAACAACAUUACAUAAACUGUCCACGGUUUUAAUGUUGUAGCUGGUGUGUGUGAGAAAGAGUAUAUUAAACAAUUGUGUUCUUAUCAGUUAUAAAUUAUAUAGGUUCAAUAAUUUAUUUUUGUUUUAUAUAUGUAAAAUAAAAUAUAUUUGUUCCCUAUAUUAAAAUGUUGUAUCUAGACUCUAGAUACAACUGAAUGAGAAAUUUGUGUUCACAUCAGGGACCCUGGACCACAGCCAUAGACGACAAUGCAUUAUAUGAGUCAAAAUUACUGAUUAUUAUUUUUCUAUUAUGCCAAAAAUGAUGUGCUACAGCUACUUUAAUAUAGGAAUAUAGGAGUAGGUGGUGAUUUGUGUCACGGAUAAUCGUCUGAUGCAUAUAACACACUUUUCUGGAAACACUUCAGGAGUUUAGAAGUCGUCAACACUGGUUGAAUUAUCGCAGAUUUUCAGUAAAUAUGUAAAAAAGAUGCCAUGAAGCCGACACUUGUGAUGACCAACACUUAUCGGCUGGAUUUUCAAAAGUCUGUGACAUAUUUAAAUUUGCAGCACAGAAUAAUUAAAAUAUGUCUGAGAGAUGUUGUUGUUUUACGUCUGAGAGUGGUACACACUGUUAUGCCCCCAAAACGUGAUGAGGAACGUAACAAAAUGUGAUUGGUUGUUGGACACGUCAUGGGCGUUCCUUGGCCAAUGAAUUCUUUCCAGACCGUCAGCUGUCUAGGUGAGAAUAGGUGCUGAGAGACUAUUAAGGCUGUUGUAAAAAAAUGUUUCUAAUAAUUCAUUUGGACACUCUAAAGUCUGUGUUAUAUUGUCAGUAUUUAUAAUAGCAGAUGGGAAUCUUCAUUUUAUUUUUUAGAUAUAAUGUACAUCACAUAGUUGCAUUUUUACCUUCUAGACAGAUUAUUAUUGCUCUCUUUGCCUCUCACAUUAGCAAAGAAAAUGAUUUAAUUCUUGACACUGGGGGAGCAAUGUAUGAGGAAGUUAACAGAGAGCCAUAGGUUUUAUAUAUUUAGUAUGCCUUUAUAUAUUCAGUUACACAACAGAUAGAGUACAGCUGUGAAGAAAAAUACAUUCAUGGUCGUAACUUUAAAUAUUAAAAAACUUCAGUAUUAAGAGAACAUUUUAAACACAAUGUGGUAACUCCUGAUUGUCAGGUGACGCAUGAAAGUCAAACUAUUACAGCAGGAUCUGAUUUGGUUUUGUGGAAUAAGGAAGUCAACUACAUUAGGAGAGAAAAACAUGUCAAGAAGAAACCUUUCAAGAUAGUCUUGUGAACUGACUGUUGAGACAGAGGUGGAUUUCAGAAAAUGAACUGCUGAGAUGAUUCGUAACUCAACAUCUGUCUCUGCUAUUAAAUGAAACCACAGCCUCCAGAAUGAAUCUCUCUAAAGAGCGUGACACGCAGAUAAAGACAGGCAAGAGUCUGUGGCAAAAUGAACCUCCUGAACCCAGCUGUGUGUCCGUGAAGAGUGACCAGUCAAUUAGUCCUCCAUUUAAUUUCAGUCUGGAGGAAUCUGCUGAUCUGAGUGAAAAACAUGAAGAACCAGAAUCACAUACAGCGAAGAAGAACCUAGACUCCAUUUUCAAGUAUCUUGAGUACAAAAUCAUUUCUGUGAUGAAGAGUGAGUUAAAAAGCUUUAAGAAAGUACUGAGUCCAGAUUACCCAGAUUGCUCUGAAAGAGACGAUGAUGAGGAUAGUAACAAAGUCAGAGAGGGUCUUCUGAAGAUAACACUGCUCAUCCUGAGAAAGAUGAACCAAACAGACCUUGCUAACACACUACAGACCAAAUUUAUGCCUGUGUAUCAAGAAAAACUCAGAUCCAGACUACAGGAUAAAUAUCAAAGACUGAAUGAAGGAAUUUCCAAUCAUGGAGACUCAACACAUCUGAAUGAGAUCUACACAGAGCUGUACAUCACAGAGGGAGGCAGUGGAGAGGUCAAUAAUGAACACGAGGUGAGACAGAUUGAGACAGUGUCCAGGAGACCAGAGACACAGGACACACCAAUCAACUGUAAUGACAUAUUUAUACCCUCACCUGGACAAGACAAACCCAUCAGAACUGUGCUGACAAAAGGAGUCGCUGGAAUUGGAAAAACAGUCUCUGUGCAGAAGUUCAUUCUUGACUGGGCUGAAGGAAAAGCCAACCAGGAUGUUCAUUUUAUCUUUCCACUUCCUUUCAGGGAGCUGAACUUGAUGCAGAAAAAUCUCAGUCUUGUGGAUCUUCUAAACCACCUUCACACAGAAACCAAAGAAUUUAAGUCAGCAGAUUAUGAUUACUACAAAUUCAUGUUCAUAUUUGAUGGUUUGGAUGAGUGUCGACUUAGUCUAGAUUUCCAAAACAAUCAGAACUUGUCUGAUGUAACAGAACCAGCUUCAGUGGAUGUGUUGCUGACCAACCUCAUCAAGGGCAAUCUACUUCCUUCUGCUCUCCUCUGGAUCACCUCUCGACCAGCAGCAGUCAAUCAGAUCCCUCCUGAGUGUGUCGACCAGGUCACAGAGGUGCGAGGAUUCAAUGACCCUCAGAAGGAAGAAUAUUUCAGGAAGAGAAUAAAUGAUCGGAGUCUGGCUGAUAGAGUCGUCACGCACAUCCGAUCAUCAAGAAGUCUGUUCAUCAUGUGUCACAUCCCAGUCUUCUGCUGGAUUUCAGCCACUGUACUCGAGAGGAUGAUGGGUAAAGCAGAGAGUGCAGAGAUUCCCAAAACUCUCACACAAAUGUUUACACACUUCCUGAUCUUCCAGACCAAACUGAAGACUCAGAAAUAUGAUGGGAAAUAUGAAAUUGAUUCUGAUAAGGCUAGACAGACGAUUCUGUCUCUAGGAAAACUGGCUUCUGAACAGCUGGAAAAAGGAAACCUGAUUUUCUAUGAGGAGGACCUGAAAGAGAGUGACAUUGAUGUCAGAGAAGUGUCAGUGUACUCAGGAGUUUGUACCCAGAUCUUCAGAGAGGAGUUUGGACUGCAGUUGGGAAAGGUGUACAGCUUUGUUCAUCUGAGUAUUCAGGAGUUUCUUGCUGCUUUAUUCAAGCUGCUGUCCUUUUCUGAACAAAACACAGGACUGUGGAAUGUGUUUAGAUUACCAAUGACAAGUUUACUAAAGAGAGAAGUGGACAAGGCCUUACAGAGUGAGAACGGACACUGGGACCUUUUCCUCCGGUUCCUUCUAGGUCUGUCACUAGAGUCUAAUCAGUCUCUCUUACAAGGUCUCCUGAAAAAGAGAGUAAGCAGCUCUGAUAUCAGUCAGGAAACAGCUGAAUACAUUAAACAGAAGAUCAGGGAGAAUCCCUCUCCAGAGAAAUCCAUCAAUCUGUUCCACUGUCUGAAUGAACUGAAUGAUUGUUCACUAGAGCAGGAAGUCCAAACAUACCUGAUCAGAACAGAGGACAGGUGUCUCUCUGGAGUCAAACUAUCUGCGGCUCAGUGGUCAGCUCUGGUGUUUGUGCUGUUGAACUCAGAAGAAGAGCUGGAUGAGUUUGUACUGAGUAAAUAUCAACGAUCAGAAGAAUGUCUUCUGAGGCUGCUGCCAGUGAUCAAAGCAUCUAGAAAGGCUGAUCUCUCCUGCUGUUAUAUUACAAAGAAAGGCUGGUCUGCUCUGACUUCAGCUCUGAGAUCAAACCAUUCACACCUGAGAGAACUGAAUCUGAGCCGUAAUAAACUCAGUGAUUCAGAAGUGCUCUGUGCUCUGCUGGAGGAUCCUGUAAGCUGUAAACUGGAAAAACUACAGCUGAGUUACUGCAGUAUUGGAGAGGAAGGCUGUGCUGCUCUGAUUUCAGCUCUGAGAUCAAACCCCUCACACUUGAAAGAACUGGAUCUGAGCCGUAAUAAACCAGGAGACUCGGGUGUGAAGCUGCUCUCUGCUCUACUGGAGGAUCCACACUGUAAACUGGAGAAACUACAGCUGUGGGACUGCAGUAUUGGAGAGGAAGGCUGUGCUGCUCUGAUUUCAGCUCUGAGAUCAAAUUCCUCACACCUGAGAGAACUGGAUCUGAGCUGUAAUAAACCAGGAGACACAGGAGUGAAGCUGCUCUCUGCUCUAGUGGAGGAUCCACACUGCUGUGUAACUGCAAUAUUGGAGAAGAAGGCUGUGCUGCUCUGAUUUCAGCUCUGAGUUCAAACUCCUCACACCUGAGAGAACUGGAUCUGAGCCUUAAUAAACCAGGAGACUCAAGAGUAAAGCUGCGCUCUGCUCUACUGGAGGUUUCACACAGUAAACUGAAGAAACUAUAUAUUUGACAGUGGAAACUCCACAAGCUUCAAACAACUAAUUCAAAACAUCACGUCCUGAGCAAGACUGUCACCUGCACAUUAAUGCUGAUCCAACAGAGAUUGGACAUACUGCGCUGUGAAAAAAAAUGCAUAAGUACAGUAUAUUUGUCAUGGAAUGUGGUUGUACUCAUGUAACACGAUAAACAAAGGUUUCUUUAAUUCUAAUUUAAUAAGCUUUAACAGACAUCCCAUUAAAUGACAUUAAUUCAUAGCAAAUCAAAAGGGGAAACUGAAUGCUUAUAAGGACAGGGAAACAAUCAGGGUGAACUGAAACAGGUGAAGAAACACAGGUGUUUUAACUAAUAAUAUUACUAAUUGAGGACAGGAAGAGGAAGGGCCAAAUAAGGACAAAGAGGACACAUGGGGGAAAGAAACGCAACAGAACAGUCCGGGAAUGUGGAGCCGAGAAGGACCAAGGCAGAUCACGAGUCUCGGGGUGCUAUUCAGGCAGUUCGGCGAGCCAAUGCAGUGCAGGGAGCUUGAGAACCACAACCUUUUCCCAUAGUCCACCAACCUUUGACUCGGCUACGGCUAUAUAGCUCCCGCUGACAAAAUGUCUUGGGGACGUUAUCCAGGGACCACAGAUUUCAGGAGGCCAUUAAGGAGUUUGUCACGUUAUUCAUGCUUCUGACAUGACUAGAUCAGAAAUUUAAAUUCUAAGAAAAUGACCCAGAAUACUUUAUAAUACAGUACAUUUCUGGCAUUAUUUUCUGUUUCCUAUAGCCUCUGGCUCUGUAACAGCAGGUUUAACUAUCUUUAAGUAGGCUAAACUGUUGGGUAUUUAUCCCUGCUUUGGAACAAAAUGUAUUCAGUGAUUACAUAUUUCUAUUUAUAUGAAUUAUUUUCUCAUAUACACCCAAAGCCAUCUUUGUGUACUACUUUUACAUUUUAAAACCUGUUCAGACCUAAGUUCAAACCACAGUGCAAUACAAAAAUGAACUAUAGCUGCAAGCAGCAAUGAACAGGCCCUCAUUUAAAGAAGAAAUAUAUAAAUGAUAUGUAAAAGCAAUAUAUACAGACGUGGACAAAAUUGUUGGUACCCUUUGGUCAAUGAAAGAAAAAG